GCCCCAGUGGCCUAAUGGAUAAGGCACUGGCCUCCUAAAGCCAGGGAUUGUGGGUUCGAGUCCCACCUGGGGUG
rfam:TPA: Bos taurus chromosome 19, whole genome shotgun sequence.